CACGAAGCAAGUCAUCACAGAAUCCGGAAAUACAAGCCUGAGCAGUCUAAAGGUUUCGCCAUUCGAAUCAAAUCAAUGGCGGGACUUCGCAACAGAAAUAGAGACGCAACAAAGCAAUUGGGAACGAUCAAGGUCACCGAACCGACCGUCAUUUCCGAACUAACAAUUGUUCUUUGUCUGAAAAGUUGAAACAGGUAUAAUCCAAGACAACCGUGCAAGAAGCAGGUGUCGCCCAAAGAAGAAGGUACACGGAUACAAGAAACAUUUUGGCAAUAAGGAAUUCACUCAAAAGGUAAGUUCCCGCAAAACUCUCUUUUGUUCUUUUACUAAAAUAAGAAAAUUCAAAAAAAAAAAAGAAGUCAGUGGUUGUUCUCGAAUUUUGUCCCCAACCAUCAGCAUUAGGGUUUUAAACCCUAAACUGAAUUUUUCCUUUAAUCAGCAUUAGGGUUUUAAACCCUAAACUGAAUUUUUCCUUUAGUCAGCAUUAGGGUUAAACCCUAAACUGAACUUUUUCCUUUCAGCCAGCAUUAGGGUUUUAAACCCUAAACUGAGCUUUUCCAUGCAAUCAGCAUUAGGGUUUUAAACCCUAAACCGAAUUUCCUUUUAAUCAGCAUUAGGGUUUUAAACCCUAAACUGAAUUUUUCCAUGCAAUCAGCAUUAGGGUUUUAAACCCUAAACUGAAUUUUUCCUUUAGUCAGCAUUAGGUUUUAAACCCUAAACUGAAUUUUCCUUUUAGUCAGCAGUUAGGGUUUUAAACCCUAAAGUGAACUUUUUCCUUUCAGCCAGCAUUAGGGUUUUAAACCCUAAACUGAGCUUUUCCAUGCAAUCAGCAUUAGGGUUUUAAACCCUAAACUGAAUUUUCCUUUUAAUCAGCAUUAGGGUUUUAAACCCUAAACUGAAUUUUCCUUUUAGUCAGCAUUAGGGUUUUAAACCCUAAACUGAAUUUUCCUUUUAGUCAGCAUUAGGGUUUUAAACCCUAAACUGAACUUUUUCCUUUUGGUCAGCAUUAGGGUUUUAAACCCUAAACUGAACUUUUCCAUUUCAGCCAGCAUUAGGGUUUUAAACCCUAAACUGAGCUUUUCCAUGCAAUCAGCAUUAGGGUUUUAUACCCUGAACUGAACUUUUUUCCAUUCAGUCAGCAUUAGGGUUUUAAACCCUAAACUGAACUUUUUCCUUUAGUCAGCAUUAGGGUAUUAAAACCCUAAACUGAACUUUUUUCCUUUCAGCCAGCAUUAGGGUUUUAAACCCUAAACUGAACUUUUUUUCCUCUAGCCAGCAUUAGGGUUUUUAAACCCUAAACUGAGCUUUUCCAUGCAAUCAGCAUUAGGGUUUUAAACCCUAAACUGAAUUUUUCCUUUAGUCAGCAUUAGGGUUUUAAAACCCUAAACUGAACUUUUUUCUUUUCAGCCAGCAUUAGGGUUUUAAACCCUAAACUGAACUUUUUUUCCUCUAGCCAGCAUUAGGGUUUUUAAAUCGUAAACUGAGCUUUUCCAUGCAAUCAGCAUUAGGGUUUUAAACCCUAAACUGAAUUUUCCUUUUAGUCAGCAUUAGGGUUUUAAACCCUAAACUGAACUUUUUCCAUUUUAGUCAGCAUUAGGGUUUUAAACCCUAAACUGAACUUUUUCCAUUCAACCAGCAUUAGGGUUUUAAACCCUAAACUAAGCU
rnacentral:lncRNA from 1 species